rnacentral:misc_RNA from 1 species
CUCCUUUUUAGAGAAAACGACUCUCAAAAUAAUUAUUGGAAACAACUGGGCUGCUGCAUCAUUCUUCUUUUUCCGUUUUUGUCUAGUCCUGUAGCUCAGUUGGUUAGAGCACUACACUGAUAAUGUAGGGGUCAGCAGUUCAAAUCUGCUCAGGACUACGGUGAAGAUGGGGGAUUAGCUCAGCUGGCUAGAGCGCCUGCCUUGCACGCAGGAGGUCAUCGGUUCGACUCCGAUAUUCUCCACUAAAGAGAAGUUCUUUGACGUACUGGUAGAAGAUAGAGUAAAUCAUAAGCAACAAAGAGCAGUUGGCGGAUGCCUUGGCUCUCAAUAGCGAUGAAGGACGUGAUAAGCUGCGAUAAGCUAUACUGAGAUGCAAAUAAUCGUUUAAGUAUAGAUUUCCG